GCCUGGUUAGCUCAGUUGGUUGGGCGCCAGACUGCAAUACGGGAGGUCGCAGGUUCGAAUCCCGGCCGGACCACCAAACA
rnacentral:tRNA from 1 species